rnacentral:rRNA from 1 species
UCAAGCGAACAAGGGCGCAGGGCGAAUGCCUUGGCACUGGGAGCCGAUGAAAGACGUGAUAAGCUGCGAUAAGCUUCGGGGAGCUGCAAAUAAGCAUUGAUCCGGAGAUUUCUGAAUGAGGAAACUCACUCAGGUUCAUACCUGAGUACGUUGUACUGAAAUUCAAAAUAGGUACAUCGGGGGAACCGCCUGAACUGAAACAUCUAAGUAGGGCGAGGAAGAGACAUCAAACGAGAUUCCGUAAGUAGUGGCGAGCGAACGCGGAAGAGGGCAAACCGGGAGUAGAAAUACUUCCGGGGUACGGACUGCUUUUAGGACUCGAUCUGUUAACCGAACGGCAUGGGAAGGCCGGUCAGAGAGUGUGAGAACCACGUAGGUGAAAACGGAAAGAGCUGCGCAGAUUCCAGAGUACGGCCAGACACGUGAAACCUGGUCGGAAGAUGGGGGGACCACCCUCCAACCCUAAAUACUACCCAGUGACCGAUAGCGUAUAGUACUGUGAAGGAAAGGUGAAAAGCACCCCGGGAGGGGAGUGAAAAAGAACCUGAAACCCUGUGCCUACAAGCACCUAGAGCGCGUCAAUGCGUGAUAGGGUACUUUUUGUAGAACGGUCCGGCGAGCGAUUGUAUGCAGCAAGGUUAAGGACUUAAGGUCUGGAGCCGAAGCGAAAGCGAGUUUGAAAAGGGCGUUAAGUUGCAUAUAAUGGGCCCGAAACCGGGUGACCUACCCAUGGUCAGGUUGAAGUGGAAGUAAAAUUCCAUGGAGGACCGAACCGACCUCCGUUGAAAAGGCGGCGGAUGAACUGUGGGUAGCGGAGAAAUUCCAAUCGAACCCGGAGAUAGCUGGUUCUCCCCGAAAUAGUUUUAGGACUAGCCUCAAGUUAGAUACCUGGAGGUAAAGCACUGAAUAGCCUAGCGGCCGAGAGGUUAGCGAAGCUUAUCAAACUCAGAAUGCCAGAGUAUUGAUGCUUGGGAGUCAGACAGUGUCAGAUAAAUGUCAUUGUCAAAAGGGAAACAGCCCAGAUCUACAGCUAAGGUCCCAAAGUCAGGUUAAGUGGAAAACGAUGUGAAGAUACGCAGACAACCAGGAUGUUGGCUCAGAAGCAGCCACUCAUUCAAAGAGUGCGUAAUAGCUCACUGGUCGAGCGUCUUUGCGCGGAGAAUUUAACGGGGCUAAACCUGACACCGAAGCUUAGGCAAUCCAGUAAUGGAUUGGGUAGGGGAGCGUUGUAUACGCGGAGAAACAGUAGCGUGAGCGGCUGUGGAGUGUAUAGAAGUGAGAAUGCCGGAAUGAGUAGCGCGAAUGCAGUGAGAAUCUGCAUGGCCGAAAGCCUCAGGUUUUUGGAGGAAGGUUCGUCCGCUCCAAGUUAGUCGGGAGCUAAGGUGAGGCCGGAAGGCGUAGCCGAUGCACAGACGGUAGAGAUUCCGUCACCACCAAAAGAGUUAAGCACAGGGACACAUUUGAAGUCUCAGAGCCGGGUGUUGGUUCCGGUAGAGAUCGAGGGAAGUUAGUACCGAAGUCUGGGAUGGAAGAUGGCGAGAAAAGCUGUGUGUAUUUCUGAGGUGCCCGUACCGCAAACCGACACAGGUAGGUAGGAAGAAGAUUCUAAGGCCAACGGGAGAAGGGUUGUUAAGGAACUCGGCAAAUUGACCCCGUAACUUCGGGAGAAGGGGUGCUCCAGAGAUGGAGCCGCAGAGAAUCGGCCCAAGCAACUGUUUACCAAAAACACAGGUUUGUGCUAAAUCGAAAGAUGACGUAUACGAGCUGACGCCUGCCCGGUGCUGGAAGGUUAAGAGGAGAUGUGCAAGCAUUGAAUCGAAGCCCCAGUGAACGGCGGCCGUAACUAUAACGGUCCUAAGGUAGCGAAAUUCCUUGUCAGGUAAGUUCUGACCCG